CUGCAGAGGGACGUGGAUAGACUAGAGCGAUGGGCCAAGGUAAACUUUGAGUUUCAGUAGGGCCAAAUGCCAGGUCCUGCAUUCUGGUCACAACCCCAGGCAACCCAACGUGUUUGGGGAGGAGUGGCUGGAAAGCUGCCUGAUGGAAAGGGACCUCGGUGUGCUGAUGGACAGUUGGCUGAACAUGAGCCAGCAGUGUGCCCAGGUGGCCAAGAAGGCCAACAGCAUCCUGGCUUGGAUCAGGAAUGGAGUGGUGAGCAGGACCAGGGAAGUCAUCCUGCCCUGUGCUCGGCCCUGGUGAGGCCUCACCUCGAGUGCUGUGUUCAGUUUUGGGCACCUCAGUACGGAAAGGCCAUGGAGGUGCUGGAGCAGGUCCAAAGAAGGGCAACAAGGCUGGAGAAGGGCUUGGAGGAUAUGGCCUAUGAGGAAAGGCUGAAGGAACUGGGGCUGUUUGGUCUGGGGAAAAGGAGGCUGAGGGGAGACCUUAAUGCUCUCUUCCAAUACCUGGAAGGUGGUUGCAGUGAGAGCAGGGCUGGUCUCUUCUCACUGGUGACAGUGAGCAAUUCCAUGAUUCCUGCGUGCCCCAGUGAGGCCCUGGAAGGCCACUAUAAGCUCUCAUCAGAGACUCCUCCAGGCUGAAGAGCCCCAUUUCUCCAUCCCGCAAAGCAGAAGUAAUUGAGCAGAGGAGGCGGGCAACCCUCAAGGCUAAGGACAGACCUGCAGCUUAAAGUGAGGGAAAAGAGAGAUGUACAGGAAGUGCAAGUAGGGUUGUGUAUCCUGGGAUGAAUAUAAGGAUGUUUUCUGCGUGUGUAGAAAGAAUUUCGGGAAAGCCAAGGCACAGAUAGAGCUGAACUUGGCGAGGGAUGUGCAAAAUAACAAGGAGGGGUUCUACAGGUACACAUAAGCAGGAGACAGAUCAAGGAGCGUUCCCCCUCUGAUAAAUGAGAACGGAGAACUUCCUCAGACAUGGAAAAAGCUGAGGUGCUCAAUAAGAGCUUUGCCUCGGUCUUCACUGGCGGUCAGACUCCUCCCCACAUCUGCCAGGACUGAAGGUUGAGGGAACUGGGCUUGUUUAGCUUGGAAAUGAGAAGGCUGUGGGGAGGCCUCAUUGUGGCCUUCCAAUACUUGAAGGGAGCGUAUAAACAGGAGGGGGAACGGCUGUUUAUGAGGGUGGAUAGUGAUAGGACAAGGGGGAAUGGUUUUAAAUGAAGACGGGAGGUUUAGGUUGGAUAUGAGGAGGAAGAUCUUCACCCAAAGGGUGGUGACGCACUGAACAGGCUGCCCAAGGAGGCUGUGGAUGCCCCAUCCCUCGAGGCAUUCAAGGCCAGGCUGGAUGUGGCUCUGGGCAGCCUGGGCUGCUGGUUGGUGACCCUGCACAUAGCAGGGGGGUGGAACGGGAUGAGCACUGUGGGUCUUUUCAACCCAGGCCAUGCUGUGAUUCUAUGCUGAGCUGUGUCCAUCACCUCCCCCCGCCCUGCCUGGCUGUGCUGUGCUGUGCUGUGCUGUGCUGUGCUCCGAGUGCACUGUUCCUGGGAUAAGCAGCAGUGCAAUCUUCCACUAUCACAACCCGUCUCUUUCAUCCUG
rnacentral:lncRNA from 1 species